rnacentral:tRNA from 1 species
GGCUCUAUGGUGUAGUGGUAUCAUACUUGCUUUGGGUGCAAGUGGUCCCGGGUUCAAAUCCCGGUGGAGCCC